AUCCUUUUGUAGUUAGUUCAUAAGCGUGACGAUUGGGUGUUCACACUCUCUGUGUGGAUGUGCCUCCCCAUAAACCUGUGACAGCUUACAGUUAGCCCCACACUGACU